rnacentral:misc_RNA from 1 species
AAAAGGCUGCUGCUCACUUGAAGGUCUCUUUCGUGAUCUCUUGUUUUGCUUUCAUGUUCUUGAUAAUUUGUUUUUGUCUAAUUUCUGGAUAGAUGUUUCUUUUUUUUUUUUUUCUAUAGAUAUGUAUGCUAUAUUGUGGAGAUUUAUGAUGGAUGAUUUGGUAAAAUUAUAAGUUUAUCGUAUAUAUCACUACUCUGUUCCAAUCUAAAAUUUCAAUUGCAGAAUAGUUAUUAGAUUGUCUUGAACAAUGUUGUGGAGAUCUAGAAAUCUUUGGAUCUAAAUUUAAUUGAUAAGGGAUUACAGCCAUUUUGUUAUUGUUCAGGGUGGAGCUAAGAAGGUUGUAA